rnacentral:tRNA from 1 species
GCGGGUAUAGCUCAGUGGUAGAGUGCUUGCUUAGUUAGCCUGCAUGAGGUCCCAGGUUCAAUCCCCAGUACCUCCA